AUUGAACGCUGGCGGCAUGCCUUACACAUGCAAGUCGAACGGUAACAGGGAGCUUGCUCCGCUGACGAGUGGCGAACGGGUGAGUAAUGCGUCGGAACGUACCGAGUAAUGGGGGAUAACGCAGCGAAAGUUGUGCUAAUACCGCAUACGCCCUGAGGGGGAAAGUGGGGGAUCGCAAGACCUCACGUUAUUCGAGCGGCCGACGUCUGAUUAGCUAGUUGGUGGGGUAAUGGCUCACCAAGGCGACGAUCAGUAGCGGGUCUGAGAGGAUGAUCCGCCACACUGGGACUGAGACACGGCCCAGACUCCUACGGGUGGCUG
rnacentral:rRNA from 1 species